AUGAACGCUAGCGACAGGCCUAACACAUGCAAGUCGAGGGGCAGCACAAGGAGCAAUCUGAGGUGGCGACCGGCGCACGGGUGAGUAACACGUAUGCAACCUGCCUGUAAGCGGGGAAUAACCCGUUGAAAGACGGACUAAUACCGCAUAAUACUAAAUUACUGCAUGGUAAUUUAUUUAAACAUUUAUGGCUUACAGAUGGGCAUGCGCAUGAUUAGCUAGUUGGAGAGGUAACGGCUCCCCAAGGCAACGAUCAUUAGGGGUUCUGAGAGGAAGGUCCCCCACACUGGUACUGAGACACGGACCAGACUCCUACGGGAGGCAGCAGUGAGGAAUAUUGGUCAAUGGACGAGAGUCUGAACCAGCCAAGUCGCGUGCAGGAAGAAUGUCCUAUUGGAUUGUAAACUGCUUUUGCAGGGGAAUAAAGUGCAUCACGUGUGAUGUUUUGUAUGUACUCUGCGAAUAAGGAUCGGCUAACUCCGUGCCAGCAGCUGC
rnacentral:rRNA from 1 species